rnacentral:misc_RNA from 1 species
GAGUAUCAUGCCCUUCGGGGUAGAUCUCCACCCUUGAAUAACAUACCUUUGUUGCUUUGGCAGGACGCACUCGUGCCAGGGGCUUCGGCUCUUGAGUGCCUGCCAGAGGACCACAACUCUUGUUUUUAGUGAUGUCUGAGUACUAUAUAAUAGUUAAAACUUUCAACAACGGAUCUCUUGGUUCU